GGCCUGCCCCCUGAGUUUUUAAAUGGCCGCGGUACUUUGACCGUGCAAAGGUAGCAUAAUAAUUAGUUUUUUAAUUGAAAGCUGGAAUGAAAGGUUGGAUGAGAAAAUGACUGUCUCUAUUUAGAUUAUUUAAAAUUUUAUUUUUAAGUAAAAAAGCUUAAAUAUUAAUAGAAGACGAGAAGACCCUAUAGAGUUUUAAUUUAGUUGGGGUGAUUGAAAAAUUUAAUAAACUUUUUUUUUAUAAAACCAUUAAUUUAUGAAUAAAUGAUCCUUUUUUUAAAGAUUAAAAGUAAAAAUUACCUUAGGGAUAACAGCGUAAUUUUUUUAAAGAGUUCAAAUCGAAAAAAAAGAUUGCGACCUCGAUGUUGGAUUAAAAUUAAUUUUUGGUGUAGGAGCUAAG
rnacentral:rRNA from 1 species